UUUCAGUGUUUCCUCCUCUUCUCUCAACCCUCAACCUUCAUCCCUCUCAAACUUCUUCUUCCUCCCUUCUCUCAAAUUACCUCAAAUCCAUGUCAAACUUCUAUUGAAAUUCUUCAUUAUAAACUGUUUAAGGAAUAAUAUUUGUGUUUGAAUGAGCAUUUGAAGAAGAUAGAGGAAGAUUUUCUGGAUUAAUAAGAACUUUAAGAGCGGUCAAUGAUGGGAGGCAAUGGACAAAUAGGUUUGAACUUCGCCGAAACCCAAUGACUAUUGCAUUUCCGUGAACGAACCUCUGAUGGUAGGUUAGUAUGUAAAUCUUACCUUAUACACUAGCGUUGCACUCGUCAGGUUAUUUGAAUCUCUAUCUUUCAAAGAGGUCAUUUUUACCUUGGCGGCAUCUGUUAUUUUGUCAUAUCAUUCACAAACAAUCUAUCUCUGGGUUUCAGGUGUUCUGAUAUUUCAUGACCAACUAAAUCCUUAGCUAGAACAUGAUUGUGAAUACCACAUCUAAUUGUUACCUUCCAACCAAUACUGCUUGAUACAAAUCUCAACAUAAAUGGACAUUUUACUCUUAUAAUACAAGUGACUUUAGAGGAAUUAUGGUUCUUAUAGUUUCCUCCCAUCUUAUAAUCCAAAAUAAAUUUUUCCCUCCUGCCUCUUUGUCUAUUUGGUGUAUCAAAACAUACAAUAACAAUGAUAAUACCAUGUUGUCUUCUAAUAGAAAGUGCCCAUAAUAACACUUAGAUCGAGAGAGAGAGAGAGAGAAAUGUCAGUCAAUUAAAACAUAUAAUGAAUGAAUCAAUCCUAGAUUCUAUAACUCAAUUAAAAAAUUUUAAAAGUUAAAUAAAACAAGUAAGUAAAACAUUCAAAGCCAGUGGUGAAGAAUAGGGUAAAAAUGAAAAUUUUUAAAAUACACCAAAUAUAAAAAAAAUGCAAAAUUUUCUUUUGGGUUAGUAAAAAGUCUAUCGUACUUUUAAAAUACCACUAUCAAAAAAAAAUUUAUUUUUUAUUGGUUCUUUAAGAGUGAAUUUUUUUUUUAAAAUGUGAUAAGGUAAAUAAUACCAAGGUUAAUUUUAUCAUAAUUGAAAAUUAUUGGGGUGUCUCGUAACAUCCUCCUUAAAUUCAUACUCGCGUAGGCUCUAACAUCUGUAUCCAUCGUUAGACUUGUGUUUAAAAAUAUAUAUAUAUCUAAGCACAUACUCUUGUAAGCACCAAAUUUUAUGCUCAUAAGAUUAUGCUUAAAUAUAUUGAAAAAUAUUUCUAGAGGAAAUCGAUAAAAUUCAUCAUUUUAAACAUUGUUAGUGAAUUAACUGGGUGGUGGAUUGACAUUUGUGGCUUUCGUAAUGUUUACAAUGAUCUUGUUAUGUUUAAAACUUACAAAGUUGUGAAAUUUAAGAAUGUGUUGUUGAGAAAUUGUCACACCACAAAAAUGGUUAUAGGUGGAGAUAUGAAAUUGCAAUUCACUUCUCUUCAAGUGGGCCUACUUUCGAGACAAGUCGUCUGGAAGAUAAUCAUAAGACUUAGCCUCAACAAAGAAGUAUCUCCGACACCAUAAUUUUGGGAAACUAUCCUUACAUUUAAGAGGCACCCCAGGUUAAAUGUAACACAUACUUACAUGGGGCACCUCAGUGAAGAGAGUGACCAAGUAGUACCAGUCUUUAAAAUUCUUCACGCUGUCAGAGUAAACCUCAAACAUCUUCUGACCCUACCUAAGGGAUAGCAAGCCUUGAUCCCGUGUUGAUUCAGCCGGGCAACGUUGAACUUUAAAAAGGUGGAAAAUGAGUUUUAAUAUUGACACACUUUUCUUGUAUUCACACCAAUACUAGAAGACUUUGACAUAAUCCCAAUUCACCGAAUGUAGUUGUAAGGAAAAGAACACCAAAUGAUUCAGAAUUCCUAUUUCAAAGUUGUUGAAAGGAAGGCAAAAACAUAUCAAAGAAAACAAUCAUUCAUGAAGAGGGAUAACACACCACUCAUAUUUGAUGCACACACUUUUAUCUUCUUCAAAGGAAAGUACCCUUUAGCCCGAAGGGGGACCCACCUCGAUGAAAAUAUGGUCCAAACUACCCUUACCAACAAAGAAGGAUAUGAAUACUAGAAUUUCGGGAACUUAUCCUUACAUUUUAGAGGCACCACGAGUUAAAUGUAACUCAUACUGGCAUGGGCCACCUCAGUGAGAGGAGUGACCAAGUAGUACCAUUCUUUAAAAUUCUUCACAUUGUUGGAGUAAACCUCAAACAUCUUCUGACCCAGCCUAAGGGAGAGCAAGCCUUGACCCCAUGUUGAGUCAUUCGAGCGACGUUGAACGUUCAAAAAGUGGAAAGGGAGUGUUAAGGUUGACACACUUUUCUUGUACUCACACCAAUACUGAAUGACUUUGACAAAAUCCCAACUCGCCAAAUGUCGUUGUAAGGAAGAGAUCUCCAGAUAAUUCAGAAUGCCUACUUCAAAGUUGUUGAAAGGAAUGUGAAAACAUAUCAAAGAAAAUAAAUAUUAAUGGAGAGGGAUGACAUACCCCUCAUAUUUGAUGCACACCUUUUUAUCUCCUUCAAGGGAAAGUACCCCUUAGUCCGAAAGGAGACCCACCAGGUGAAAAUAUGGUCUAAACUACCCUUACCAACAAAGAUGAAUACAACAUCUAAUAUUUCUUAAUCCAUUCACAUUACCGAGAUGUCUCUCAUCACAUUAUGUGUUCCUUGGCCAUAGUUGUCCAUCUCGGAAUUACUGCUAACACAUACAAAAAAUAACGGACAUGAGCAUAAGUAUGAGAUUGAGAUUCUAACCACCACCUCACCUCGCCAUCUGUAGGGUUGUAGCUAAAAGCAUGAUGAUGUGUUUUGAUAUAGGUAUGAGCCUUUCACUCCAGUUUAAAAUCAUCUAUAAUAAUGGGGUUCAUCAAGGGUAACAAAUGAAAAGCAAACCUCUAGUAACCUCUCUAAGAGCGAGACUAUCAGCUACCAUUCCAUAAUCGACCGCAGCCACUUCCUUCAAAUCCUCUAUCACCACAUUCUCAAGAAACCCUAACAAAGGAAAGAUAAGUACAUAAGAUAAAGGGACUUCGAAUCAUUACCUUGGAAGAAAGAAAUUUGAUUAUUUGCGUUGAAAAAAGUUCAUCAGAGAAGAUUAAGUAAAGACGUUAGAGUAAAUGAUGAUGGAUGACCGUUGACAAAGAGAAGGGGCAACUACAAAGAUCAGAGAAAAACUUUUGGAGUUUUAGAAAUGGAUAAAAUAUGUACAUUUACCCAUGAACCAUUAUUAUAUAUUAUUCAAGCAACCAUUCGAUCCUUGACAACUUGCAUGGGAAAAUGUGACCACAUGACCGACAGUCGUGAUCUCGCAUCCACAUCCUGAAAACGCUUGAGUACCUUAAGAUAAGAGGCAUCAUUACCAGAAAUCAUAGAGCCACAUGUUGCAACCUUCUAGUGAGGUGUUAUGAUUUACAAGGAAGACAUUCAAUUCACAUGAUUCUAAUGUUAUCGACAUCAUAGCUAUCUCACACCUUUCGACCAAGUGCUGCACUAGAAGCCCACAUGACAAAACUCCUUAGAAUACUCGAGUACCCUUAGAUAAAACAAAGGCAACAUUAUUUCCACUCCAACGGCUGGACGAGAGGGAUUAUCUAUUUUCUUCCAAACGAAAGUAUGUUGGGUCACUCUACCAUAACUUAAUUUGUCUAUGUUAUCAUACAUUUUACUUGUAAUUACACCAGAAAAUCAUAUCAUAAUCAGCGAACCAAAGUCAUGGGACAUAACAAGAAAAAUCAGAAAAAUAAUACAGAACAACUAAAUUUAGAAGUUAACUUUUGCAAUAUAGAAUAACAAAAUAGGGAAAUUAACUUUCGUGUCCUCCCGAAACCAGAACACGAAGAAAUAGAGCAUGCCCAAUUGCUCUUAGUUUAAAAAAAUCUACAUUCAUACUUCAUUAAACAACAUAUUAUAUGUUCAAAUAUAACAAAAUCAACCUCUUAUGCGUUUAACUUCAAACUAAUGCAUCAAAAACAAAAAGCAAAAAAAAAAGAAAAUGAAAAACUUACCAAAUGCGAGAAUUCGAAGAUUUUCGAUUGAAUGGAGUGAAGUAUAUGUUGAUUGAUGUCCUAAGCUUGAAUGUGAUGCAAUAGAAGUAGCGAUAAAGCUUAAAAAAUAAUGGAAGAAAUCGAUGGUUCCAUUUAUUUCUCUGAUGAUUUCUAUAUCCAUGAUGUCCUAUAUAUACCAACUUUCUUUGCAAAUUUAAUACCAUUAUCUCGUUUAUAUGCUUCUUUAGAUUGUACUUUAAUUUUUACUUCUACUCGUUAUCUCAUACAAUGGACUCAUACCUUGAUGAAGAUUGGUGCAGCUAGAAUUCAUCAAGGAUUAUACUCUCUGAUUUUACCAUCUUUACAUAAUCCUAUCAUCCCCAAUAAUGUUCCACAUCCCAAUAACCACCUUAUACACAAUUGUUUCCUGUGACAUAAUAGAUUAGGCCAUCCUUCUAAUGAUGCAUUGCUUCACAUUAAUAAAAAAAUGUCCUUAGACACAUUUGUCCAAAUCUAAUAUUCCUUGUGAUGCUUGUUUCCAUGCUUAACAAAAACGAAUCUCUUUUCUUGAUAGUGUAACUAAAACUGAAAAAUGCUAUGAUCUUGUCCAUAUGGAUAUUUUGGGGCCAAUAACUACUCCUUCUAUACUUGGCCACAAAUAGUUUUUAACAAUAAUUGAUGAUUAUAGUCAAUAUUGUUGAAUUUUUCUCAUGAAAAACAAAUCUGAAACCUCCCAUUUGAUUAAAUCUUUUGUUAAAUUCAUUCAAACUUAGUUUAAUGUCACUAUUAAUACCAUUAGAUCUGAUAAUGGAUUUUAGUUUCUUUUAAAAACUUACUAUUCUUCUCAAGGUAUCCAUCAUCAGACCUUUUGUGUCUACGACCCCAAUAAAAUGGUUGGUUGAAAUAAAGUACCAACACCUCCUUGGGGUGACACGUGUCAUCCUCUUUCAAUCUCAUGCCCCCAAAAAAAAUUGGCCAUAUACCCCAUCUUAUGUUGUCCAUUUGAUUAAUAGAAUACCUUCCAAAUUACUUUCUCAUAAGUGUCCUUUUAACUUGCUUUAUAAUGAUGUUCCUGAUUAUGCAAACAUCAAAACUUUUGGAUGCCUUAUGUAUGUUUGUAGUAAAAUUGUUAACAUAACUAAAUUAAAUUCUAGGUGCAAAAAAUGUGUUUUCCUAGGUUUUAAAUUUGGUCUAAAAGGCUCCCUUCUGUAUGAUGUCCUCAAUAAAAAUAUGUUCAUUUCUUGUGAUAUCAUUUAUUUUGAAUAUAUAUUCCCUUUUGAACAAUUUAAACCCUCUCGCUCUCCACUACCCUAACCCAUAUACCACCCUAAUAUUAACGAUAGCCUAUAUUACACCAGCCACAAUACUCCCACUGUUUCCUCCAUUUGCCUUGAACCUAAAGUAACCACUCCAAUUACUGACAAUGAUUACAAUAUUAACCUUGACUCCAACUACCAUAACACUUUCAAUAUUACCAACAUUCCAGCUGACCCUGUCAUUCACACUCCUAAUAACCCCUCAAUAAUUGAUAAUAACUCUACCAUCAUCCUUCCCUUCCACUCAUUUUGACUAUACUGCCACCAAUCAACUUCAUAACUUCACCAACACCAGAAAAUCAGCAAGAAUAAGUAAACUUUCUUCCUACCUAAAGGACUGUCAAUUCUCACUCAUUUCAGGUAACUACAACCCACCUACUCUUCCCUAUUCAGGUAAAACUUCAUACCCCCUUUUCUAAUUUUCUUUCUUACGAUAACUUAUCCCAUUCACAUAAAUUGUUUAACUUAAAUAUAUCUAGUAUUAAAGAACCUUCUUACUCUUUUGUCAUUCUUAAUCCUAAUUGGCAACAAGCCAUCUCCAAUGAACUUAUAUCUCACAGUGAUACCAACACCUGGGACAUCACUACCCUUCCCCUAAACAAAAGAGCAAUAGGUUGCAAAUGGAUUUUCAAAUUACAAUUUCUCCCUAAUUGCACCAUUGAUAAAUAUAAGACUCGACUUAUUGUUAAAUGUUUCAACCAAACCGAAGGCUUAGAAAAUUUAAAAACUUUUAGUCCUAUCAUCAAAAUGACUACUAUUAGAAUUUUGUUAUUUAUUGCCUCCUCUCUCAAAUGGCAUGUUCAUCAACUAGAUAUAAACAUGGCAUUCCUUCAUAUGGUGAACUUGAGAAAGAGAUCUAUAUGAAAUGCCCACCUGACCUCAACGUACCUAAAAAUAUGGUUUGUAAACUAAAUAAGUAUAUUUAUGGGCUUAAGCAAACAAGUCGUCAAUGGAAUAAAAAAACAAAUACUUUGUUCCACAUUGGAUUCUCAUAAUCCAAGUCUGAUUACUCCCAAUUUACUCAUAAAAAUCUUACUGACUCUAUUGCUAUACUUGUGUAAGUAGAUGAUUUAAUUAUUGCAUGAACUAACUAGCAGCACAUCACUGAUAUCAAGAGAAUUCUAGCUCAAAGGUUCAACAUCAAAGACUUGGGCUAUAUCUGUUAUUUCCUUGGUUUUUAGAUUGCAAGAUCCUCCGACAGAAUUACAUUAUGUCAGCGCAAAUAUUGUCUGAACCUGUUGGAAUCAACUGGUAUGCUUGGUGCAAAACCAGCGUCCACGUCCAUGGACCAUACUCACAAGCUAGACCAAUCAUAAGAACCUGUCCUUGCAGACUCGACUCGGUAUAGAACUAUAAUAGGUAAACUCUUGUACCUCAUACACUCACGCCCUAAUAUCGUGUACUCUGCUUACAAGUUAAGUCAGCGCAUGUCAGUACCAACUCAAACCCACUUACAGGCAGCUUACAGAAUAAUCAGAUACCUCAGUAAUGCACCAUCCAUGGGGCUUUAUUUCAUAACAGACUCAAAGCUCAACCUUACCGGCUUCAGAGAUUCAGACUAGGGAGUUUGUCCUCUCACCAGAAGAUCAACAAUUGGCUUCAAUUUCUUCCUUGGAGACAAUUUGGUUUGCUGGAAAUCAAAGAAACAACUCAUUGUCUCUCGUUCCUCAUCUGAAGCGGAGUAUCGAGCAUUGGCUAACACAUCCUGCGAGGCCCAAUGGAUGAUUUUUCUACUUCAAGACUUUGGCAUCUCUCAUCCUUAACCAGACACUAUUUACUGCAACAGCUGGAGUGCAAUCACAUUGCACUAAUCUGAUAUUCCAUGAACAAAUGAAGCAUAUAAAGAUGGACUGCCACUUAGUGCAAGACAAGAUUCAAUCAAAGACCAUUCAUCUCAUGCCAAUAAAUUCAGACAACCAAGUAGCAAACUUGUUUCCUAUGCCACUGCUCUUGGUCCCUUUAACAGUCUGAUUUCCAAACUGGGAAUGUUGGUGUUAAAACUUAGUUUUAUUAUUAUUUGUAUUCUAUCAUUUAGGCCCAAUAUGCAAAAUUACUUGGCCCAUUGCAUUAUCUUUCUAUACCGGCCAUGUAUAUACAAUGCCUUGUACCUUUUAUCGGUUAAUGAAAAUAAGAAUUUUUUUUUUCAUUCAAUGGUUUCCAUCUAUCCGCUGCCAAGUGUCAAAACAUGCCUCAACACACAACAUUGCAAUGUACUUGCAAAUUAUUUAUCAAAAAAUCAUCACAAUAGAUUGACUAUAGGUGUUGAACUCUCCCUAGUCCCUAUCUUGUAGAGUACUAUGAGACUACUCUUUAUCAUUUGUAGUUGGAUACCCUAUCAUCUGUUUCCUUUUUGAAAUGCUCUCCUACUUGAUUUAAAAGCUCAUCAAAACUACUUUAAAGAAAAGCUUCUUAUAUCUAGCUUCUAAAACUACCAUUUGACCUAUAACUUCUCUUAAGGAGAAGAGAAAUCAAAAAAAUAAAUCAAGUUACACACACCCUUAUAAAAGCUUACAAAAACACAG